rnacentral:rRNA from 1 species
CAGUCGCCACGGGAAUACGAAGGGGGCUAGCGUUGUUCGGAAUCACUGGGCGUAAAGGGUGCGUAGGCGGGCAUUUAAGUCAGGGGUGAAAUCCCGAGGCUCAACCUCGGAACUGCCCUUGAUACUGGGUGUCUUGAGUCCGGAAGAGGUGAGUGGAACUGCGAGUGUAGAGGUGAAAUUCGUAGAUAUUCGCAAGAACACCGGUGGCGAAGGCGGCUCACUGGUCCGGAACUGACGCUGAGGCACGACAGCGUGGGGAGCAAACAGGAUUAGAUACCCCCGUAGUCCCUGUCUCUUAUAC